UAUUGCACAAUGGGGGAAACCCUGAUGCAGCGACGCCGCGUGAGUGAAGAAGUAUUCCGGUGUGUAAAGCUCUAUUAGCAGGGAAGAAAAUGACGGUACCUGAUUAAGAUGCGCCGGCUAACUACGUGCCAGCACCCGCGGUAAUACGUAGGGGGCAAGCGUUAUCCGGAUUUACUGGGUGUAAAGGGAGCGUAGACGGCAGCACAAGUCUGGAGUGAAAUGCCGGGGCUUAACCCCGGAGCUGCUUUGGAAACUGUGCAGCUAGAGUGCAGGAGAGGUAAGUGGAAUUCCUAGUGUAGCGGUGAAAUGCGUAGAUAUUAGGAGGAACACCAGUGGCGAAGGCGGCUUACUGGACUGUAACUGACGUUGAGGCUCGAAAGCGUGGGGAGCAAACAGG
rnacentral:rRNA from 1 species